rnacentral:snRNA from 1 species
GAAGGAGAGGGUAAUCUGGCUGAGAUAUAUUGUCCCACUCAUGGUCGAGUUUGAUUUCCUUGAGACAGCUGGCCAGGUGAGUACCCACUUCUACCCACACCACUCACUCCAUGUGUGUAUUUCCUGAAGUUGUGUGCUAGGCCAGAGAAGACCCUCCUCAGUAGAGAAAGACCCAUUCUUCCAUCCAGGGUAUAUUAGUAGAACCUCCAAAUGACCUCUCAGUAUGAUAUUAUAAUGAAAGUUGUAUGAAUGUAGUGAAUCUCUCACUACCUAU